CGCGAAAAUCAUAACCCUAAUUUGGUAUUGAAUAAGUACGUGUCUGAUCGGUGCUGUUACUUUGAAUCAAAUUUUAUACCUUAUUUACAAAACCGAGGUUUUUAUGUUGAUUUUUAGAAUGCUCUCAAACAUCUCAAUAGUAUAAAUGAAGCUUUAAAUUGUUUUUUUGUUCAGUAUGAGGCUUCACGCCGUAUGUUUUAAAAUCAACAUUCGCACAUUAUACUAACCUUCUGUCGUGCGAUGAAAAUGCAUUUAUAGCUUACAGACAUCGACCAUUCUAUGCCAUUUCGUGAAAUAAAUCCAAACUCAGCGUUUUUAAGGUAAAACUAAGAUUCCAUUUUCAUCUCACAAAGCCUUCUCUCACAACUCGCCUUUAUGGGGCUCACUGAUUAAUAUGCCCUAUGGCUAUCUGACAAUAUAAUACGUCAACAAUUAGAGAGCUGCGUAUGCAUUUCCUG